rnacentral:rRNA from 1 species
GAUGAACGCUGGCGGCGUGCCUAAUACAUGCAAGUCGAGCGAAUGGAUUGAGAGCUUGCUCUUAUGAAGUUAGCGGCGGACGGGUGAGUAACACGUCGGUAACCUGCCCAUAAGACUGGGAUAACCCCGGGAAACCGGGGCUAAUACCGGAUAACAUUUUGAACCGCAUGGUUCGAAAUUGAAAGGCGGCUUCGGCUGUUACUUAAGGAUGGACCCGCGUCGCAUUAGCUAGUUGGUGAGGUAACGGCUCACCAAGGCAACGAUGCGUAGCCGACCUGAGAGGGUGAUCGGCCACACUGGGACUGAGACACGGCCCAGACUCCUACGGGAGGCAGCAGUAGGGAAUCUUCCGCAAUGGACGAAAGUCUGACGGAGCAACGCCGCGUGAGUGAUGAAGGCUUUCGGGUCGUAAAACUCUGUUGUUAGGGAAGAACAAGUGCUAGUUGAAUAAGCUGGCACCUUGACGGUACCUAACCAGAAAGCCACGGCUAACUACGUGCCAGCAGCCGCGGUAA